CCUACGGGUGGCAGCAGUGGGGAAUAUUGGGCAAUGGGCGCAAGCCUGACCCAGCAACGCCGCGUGAAGGAAGACGGCUCUCGGGUUGUAAACUUCCUUUCUGAGGGACGAAGAAAGUGACGGUACUUCAGGAAUAAGCCACGGCUAACUACGUGCCAGCAGCCGCGGUAAUACGUAGGUGGCAAUCGUUAUCCGGAUUCAUUGGGUGUAAAGGGCGUGUAGGCGGGAAGGCAAGUCAGAUGUGAAAACUCAGGGCUCAACCCUGGGACUGCAUUUGAAACUGUUUUUCUUGAGUGCUGGAGAGGCAAUCGGAAUGCGGGGUGUAGCGGUGAAAUGCGUAGAUAUACGGAGGAACACCGGUGGCGAAGGCGGAUUACUGGACAGUAACUGACGCUGAGGCACGAAAGCGUGGGGAGCGAACAGGAUUAGAUACCCGGGUAGUC
rnacentral:rRNA from 1 species